AGUGAACGCUGGCGGUAGGCCUAACACAUGCAAGUCGAACGGCAGCACAGUAAGAGCUUGCUCUUACGGGUGGCGAGUGGCGGACGGGUGAGGAAUACAUCGGAAUCUACUUUUUCGUGGGGGAUAACGUAGGGAAACUUACGCUAAUACCGCAUACGACCUACGGGUGAAAGCAGGGGAUCUUCGGACCUUGCGCGAUUGAAUGAGCCGAUGUCGGAUUAGCUAGUUGGCGGGGUAAAGGCCCACCAAGGCGACGAUCCGUAGCUGGUCUGAGAGGAUGAUCAGCCACACUGGAACUGAGACACGGUCCAGACUCCUACGGGAGGCAGCAGUGGGGAAUAUUGGACAAUGGGCGCAAGCCUGAUCCAGCCAUACCGCGUGGGUGAAGAAGGCCUUCGGGUUGUAAAGCCCUUUUGUUGGGAAAGAAAAGCAGUAGGUUAAUACCCCGCUGUUCUGACGGUACCAAAGAAUAAGCACCGGCUAACUUCGUG
rnacentral:rRNA from 1 species